UGGGUUACAAAUUCAGGUCAGAGUGAACUGGAGAUUCCUAUUGCAAUUCGUCCCACAAGUGAGACUGUUAUGUAUCCAUACUAUUCUAAGUGGAUUAGAAGUCACAGGGACUUAUCUUUGAAGCUUAACCAAUGGGGCAAUGUCGUGCGUUGGGAAUUCAGCAAUCCUGCUCCUUUCAUUAGGUGAUAGACCACGGCAUAUCGGAACAAAUGAUCAGUGCUGUGAUGGAAGUUGCAAAAGAAUUCUUCGACAUGCCUAAGGAAGACAAGGCCGUAUGCUAUUCACUUAUUCAGAGGAUUUCAAAAAAGUCCCCAGACUUUACACGAGCCAUGGCUGCAGCAAUCACGAAAGACAAUUAAGGAGGGACUGCUUGCGACUUGUUUACUAUGGACCUGGCGAUGAAUUCAUGCACCUCUAUCCCCAAAAGCCCACCACAUUCGGAUACUCGACUCAACAAAGUUUUCAUGCAGCUGGGGCUACAGCUAAGUGGGUUUCUAUAUUGUCAGGGAUAUCAUUGUCAAAUUCGUAGCAGAGGUAGAAGGAUCGGCCACCAGGAUCCUAAAAUUAAUAACCCAGGAAUUUGGACUAGGUGAAGAUUACCUUAGCAGAUGUCUUUUAUAUUUAGUACUAAUUUAAAUGAAGUAUUUUCCCUUGUAGACAUAUAUAAUGGGCGUAAUGCCACAAAUGAAGUAUUUUCCCAUUGCAUGGUGUCCAAACGGGGUGAAAGAUGACAUAUAUUGGUCAUCCAAUGCUAAUUAUUGCUUCUUUUGUGAGCUUGAAAAAUUUCACUUGUAUAUUUCAUAUUUAGUACCAAUUUAAAUGUAUGUAGGAGUCAAGAGUUUCUUUGGCAAGAAGGGCAUACGGCUUUUGCAACAAAAGAAGAAGCAGAUCAGGAGGAUAUGAAAUAUGAGCAGGAGCAACAACAACA